CUGAGUAAGGGCGUGUGGUGGAUGCCUUGACUGAAGAAGGCGAUGAAGGACGCGGCUUAGCUGCGAUAAGCUCCGGUAAGAUGCCAAGCAAUCGUUAUACCCGGAGAUUUCCGAAUGGGGCAACCCUAUCAAGUAACCCUUGAUAACUCUCAACUUAAUCGUUUGAGAGAGCAGACCUCGGGAAGUAAAACAUUUCAGUACCGAGAGGAAAAGAGACCAAUAGGUAUUCCCUGAGUAGCGGCGAGCGAAACGGGAAAAGCACAAACUCAGCCACAAAAUCGAAGCGCGAUUAAUUUCGCGAGUCGAUUUUGGGGAUGGGGGUUAUAAGGCUACAGCGCUGGCAACAGGUAGAGUCAAAAAAUGCUUAGAUAGAGGAAUCUGCUGGGAAGCAGAGCCCCAGAGGGUAAUAGCCCCGUACUCGAAAUCAAAGCAUCUCUAUGGCUGUAGUUCUUGAGUAGCUCGAGACAUGAAUAGCUCGGGUGAAUUCGCCGGGACUAACCGGUAAUGCUACAUACUUCUUCAGAUCGAUAGUGAACAAGUACCGUGAGGGAAAGGUGAAAAGAACCCCGGUGAGGGGAGUGAAAUAGAACUGAAACCACAUGUCUACAAGGAGUCAGAGCGGUCGCAAGACCGCGAUGGCGUGCCUAUUGAAGAAUGAGCCACCGAGUUGAUGCAAACGGCUUGGCUAAGUGCGACAAAGCAUGGAGCCGUAGCGAAAGCGAGUGUGAAUAGCGCGUUUGUCGUUUGUAUCAGACCCGAAGCAACGUGAGCUACCCAUGAGCAGGAUGAACUCUGUAGAAAUACAGAGGGAGGUCCGAACCCAUAGAUUGUGCAACAUCUCGGGAUGACUUGUGGGUUGGAGUGAAAAGCUUAUCGAACCUGGUAAUAGCUGGUUCUCUCCGAAAGAGCUUUCGGGCUUGCGUCGUGCGUUCCCUCUGGGGGUAGAGCACUGGAAGGUGUCGAUAGGUCGCAAGACCACGACUCCUAUCAAACUCCGAAUACCAGAGGCCAGAGCACGGCAGUUAGACUACGGGGGCGAAGCUCCGUUGGUCAAAAGGGAAACAGCCCUAGAUCGCCAGU
rnacentral:rRNA from 1 species